GAUGAACGCUGGCGGCGUGCUUAACACAUGCAAGUCGAACGAUGAAGGAGGCGCUUGCUCCUCCGGAUUAGUGGCGAACGGGUGAGUAACACGUGAGCAAUCUGCCCCAGACUCUGGGAUAAGCGUUGGAAACGACGUCUAAUACCGGAUACGAGCCGAGCAGGCAUCUGCAUCGGCUGGAAAGAACUUCGGUCUGGGAUGAGCCCGCGGCCUAUCAGCUAGUUGGUGAGGUAACGGCUCACCAAGGCGACGACGGGUAGCCGGCCUGAGAGGGUGACCGGCCACACUGGGACUGAGACACGGCCAGACUCCUACGGGAGGCAGCAGUGGGGAAUAUUGCACAAUGGGCGCAAGCCUGAUGCAGCAACGCCGCGUGAGGGACGAAGGCCUUCGGGUUGUAAACCUCUUUUAGCAGGGAAGAAGCGAAAGUGACGGUACUAUAUGAAUAAGCACCGGCUAACUCCGUGCCAGCCGCCGCCGUAA
rnacentral:rRNA from 1 species